CGGACGGGUGAGUAACGCGUGGGUGACCUGCCCCAUACCGGGGGAUAACAGCUGGAAACGGCUGCUAAUACCGCAUAAGCGCACAGAGCUGCAUGGCUCGGUGUGAAAAACUCCGGUGGUAUGGGAUGGGCCCGCGUCUGAUUAGGCAAUUGGCGGGGUAACGGCCCACCAAACCGACGAUCAGUAGCCGGCCUGAGAGGGCGACCGGCCACAUUGGGACUGAGACACAGCCCAA
rnacentral:rRNA from 1 species